CUGUAGUAAAGCUACAGAGACUCCCCGAUCUCUGGAUGAUCUACAGAAAGGAAGCAAGAGAGAAAGAGACAAGAAGGUUCAGAAAUCUGCAUGGCUGAGUAUUGAAAUCAGUAAGAAUAUAUUCCUGCCCUUGACAUUGCUGAAUUGGGUGUCUCCGAAGACGUAAGCGAUGUUUUUGGAAUCCUGCAAUAACAAGAAACCUCUUAAGGGCAAGUCAUUGUUUCCGUGGCUGGGGCUGAAGGUGGCUCCUCUCCAUGUUCUUGGAAUUAUGAGCAGAUUCUUUGGAAAGGUCACUAAGUCAGUGGAGACACACGAGGUUCAUCCAUGUUUACACACUGAUAUAUUUCUAUAACCCGAGGACACAGGAAGGAGCCGGCUGUCCUGUUAGUCUUAUUACUGUCUGCCUGCACGUGUCUAUGUGCAGUACCCCAGACCUAGGUACUACCAUUGUAAACUGUUUAUUAUGUAUCGUUUUGUGUUUUAUGCUGUUAUGUAGUUUUCAUGUAUUUGCCUUUUACUACCAGUAAAGAAUGAUUGACGAUGGGUGGCCAGGAGCAGGGCUAACCAUCCUGUUCUUCCCUUCUUGGCAGGAGUGGACUGGUCCUGCUUCCUGCCAGGAGGGGGAGUUACUGGGUAACCUCGGAGAGGAGAGAAAACAGCCUGCAGAGCUCCUGCUCUUGUUACAGAUC